rnacentral:rRNA from 1 species
CCUACGGGUGGCAGCAGUGGGGAAUAUUGGGCAAUGGACGCAAGUCUGACCCAGCAACGCCGCGUGAAGGAAGAAGGCUCUCGGGUUGUAAACUUCUUUUUAGGGGGAAGAGCAGAAGACGGUACCUCUUGAAUAAGCCACGGCUAACUACGUGCCAGCAGCCGCGGCAAUACGUAGGUGGCAAGCGUUGUCCGGAUUUCCUGGGUGUAAAGGGCGUGCAGCCGGUGAGACAAGUCAGAUGUGAAAUCCACGGGCUCAACUCAUGAACUGCAUUUGAAACUGUUUCCCUUGAGUGUAGGAGAGGUAAGCGGAAUGCCUUGUGUAGCGGGGAAAUGCGUAGAUAUAAGGCAGAACACCGGUGGCGAAGGCGGAUUACUGGACGACAACUGACGUUGAGGCGCGAAAGCGUGGGGAGCAAACAGGAUUAGAUACCCCAGUAGUC